GGCUCCAAGUCACGUGGCCCGGUCACAUGGUGCCGAGACCCAGAGACCGGCUGGCAGUCAUUAACCAAUGCUUACUCCCAGGGAGAAAAUGCAGGUUUUAAAGACCCGAGCUCUGUUUUUGUAAAAGCAGCAGCCCUAGAAGAGAAGCCCUACCGAGUGCUUUUGUCACACGCAUCACACCCUGUACUUCCCGGGACGACCCUGUGGAGUGGCUGCGACGAGUCCUGCUCUGCAGAUGAGACAUGGAGGCACAGGGAGAGGGCUUUCUGCCUGCAGUCACUUGGCGACAGCAUUUCCAAGCAGCACCUCGGAACCGGGGCUGGCUGACUCCCCAGGCUGGUUCUUUCGUGACGGAACUCCGACCUUAAACUUUUCAUGAAGUGAAUGCAGCACACGUCUUGUUUUAGUUUCUCUGGUGGAGCUGACUUUAUUUGCAGCAGUAUCCGGUUAUAGCUCCCCUUUCUUUGCGUCCGUUCUUGCAGAGCAUGAUCUCACUGCCUGCUAAAAUAAUUAGGGAGUGGAGCCAACGGGAUUCCUUGACCAGCUUUAAAGUUCCUCUCUUCCCCUCUGAUGCUGAUGUUCUAGGGAUUUGCCCCUGAAAUGUGCCACCCGCCCUUACGCUGCCCAUCCAAAAGAGUCACCUUGUUGAAUCACUUGCCUAGCUUGUCAGGACAGUAUUUUGAAUUUGGAGUGGCUUGCCAACGUGCUGUUUAUGGGGGAAAGGAGGCUGUCAGUUCAGACAAUCCGCAAGUGCACUAAUUAGCUGGAUGGAAAAGCAAGCGGUAGCAUCUCCCCUGCAGAUGAGAGAACCCAUCUGAUCCAGUUUCCUGACUGCGGUAGCAGUGAUUUUUUUCCUCCCAGGCCAGGCUGGGGACCGGGGCUCCAAAGCAUUACGGACUCCUUUAGCUCGGGGUCUCUCCCCUUCUACACCACUGACAUCUGGAGCUGGAUUGGAGCUGGGUGGGCUGGGGGUGGGGGUGUGGGGGGAGCUGGCUCGUGUCUUGUAGGAUGUUUAGCAGCGUCCUUGGCUGCUAUGGAACGCUAACGACCCCCCCCCCAGCUGUGGUAA